rnacentral:lncRNA from 1 species
AAAUCAAUGAAAUUUAAACACAAUGUUUAUGACCACAAAAGGAAGGUUGGUAUUGAUUUUGGGAGUUUAGGUCCCAACAGUUUAGGAAUUAAUAGCCAACAAGGGACCCAAACAAGCAUUUUUCUUGGUUUUCGCACCAUAACGUUAGUAUAAGUAAAUAGAAAUCUAUUAAAUUUAAACACAAGGUUUAUGACCAUAAAAGGAAGGUUGG